UACGAAGGGGGCUAGCGUUGCUCGGAAUCACUGGGCGUAAAGGGUGCGUAGGCGGGUCUUUAAGUCAGGGGUGAAAUCCUGGAGCUCAACUCCAGAACUGCCUUUGAUACUGAGGAUCUUGAGUUCGGGAGAGGUGAGUGGAACUGCGAGUGUAGAGGUGAAAUUCGUAGAUAUUCGCAAGAACACCAGUGGCGAAGGCGGCCUGCUGGGCUCUUGCUGACACUGAGGCGCGACAGCGUGGGGAGCAAACAGG
rnacentral:rRNA from 1 species